UACGUAGGGGGCAAGCGUUGUCCGGAUUCAUUGGGCGUAAAGAGCUCGUAGGCGGCUUGUCACGUCGGAUGUGAAAGCCCGGGGCUUAACUCCGGGUCUGCAUUCGAUACGGGCUAGCUAGAGUGUGGUAGGGGAGAUCGGAAUUCCUGGUGUAGCGGUGAAAUGCGCAGAUAUCAGGAGGAACACCGGUGGCGAAGGCGGAUCUCUGGGCCAUUACUGACGCUGAGGAGCGAAAGCGUGGGGAGCGAACAGG
rnacentral:rRNA from 1 species